UAAAAUAGGGAUUUUUACCCUAUUAUUUUAAAUAUAGAAUCUUAUUAUGCUUGAGUAGUAAUCAGAUAUGUUUUUGAAACUUAAAGGAUUUGGCGGUAUUCAAGUCUAGUUAGAGGAACCUGUCUCAUAAACGAUAUGCCCCGAAUAAUCUUACUUUUAUUUGUUAGUCAGUAUGUAUACCUCCAUUAUAAAGUAAUAUUUAAAAUUAAGUACUAAAAUAAAUCUAAUUUAGUAUAUUAGGUCAAGGUGCAGCUUAUAUAAAAGUCGUGAUGGGUUACAAUAUUAUGAAAAUUUGCGGAUAGUUGUUAUAAUAAUUUCUUGAAGUUGGAUUUAAUUGUAUUUUUUUUUUAAAAAGUUAAUUUGAUAUUACCUCUAAAAUAUGCACACCUCGCCCCUUAUA
rnacentral:rRNA from 1 species